AGCGUACACGGUGGAUGCCCUGGCAGUCAGAGGCGAUGAAGGACGUGCUAAUCUGCGAUAAGCGUCGGUGAGGUGAUAUGAACCGUUAUAACCGGCGAUUUCCGAAUGGGGAAACCCAGUGUGUUUCGACACACUAUCAUUAACUGAAUCCAUAGGUUAAUGAGGCGAACCGGGGGAACUGAAACAUCUAAGUACCCCGAGGAAAAGAAAUCAACCGAGAUUCCCCCAGUAGCGGCGAGCGAACGGGGAGGAGCCCAGAGCCUGAAUCAGUGUGUGUGUUAGUGGAAGCGUCUGGAAAGGCGUGCGAUACAGGGUGACAGCCCCGUACACAAAAAUGCACAUAUUGUGAGCUCGAUGAGUAGGGCGGGACACGUGGUAUCCUGUCUGAAUAUGGGGGGACCAUCCUCCAAGGCUAAAUACUCCUGACUGACCGAUAGUGAACCAGUACCGUGAGGGAAAGGCGAAAAGAACCCCGGCGAGGGGAGUGAAAAAGAACCUGAAACCGUGUACGUACAAGCAGUGGGAGCCUCUUAAUGGGGUGACUGCGUACCUUUUGUAUAAUGGGUCAGCGACUUAUAUUCUGUAGCAAGGUUAACCGAAUAGGGGAGCCGAAGGGAAACCGAGUCUUAACUGGGCGUUAAGUUGCAGGGUAUAGACCCGAAACCCGGUGAUCUAGCCAUGGGCAGGUUGAAGGUUGGGUAACACUAACUGGAGGACCGAACCGACUAAUGUUGAAAAAUUAGCGGAUGACUUGUGGCUGGGGGUGAAAGGCCAAUCAAACCGGGAGAUAGCUGGUUCUCCCCGAAAGCUAUUUAGGUAGCGCCUCGUGAAUUCAUCUCCGGGGGUAGAGCACUGUUUCGGCAAGGGGGUCAUCCCGACUUACCAACCCGAUGCAAACUGCGAAUACCGGAGAAUGUUAUCACGGGAGACACACGGCGGGUGCUAACGUCCGUCGUGAAGAGGGAAACAACCCAGACCGCCAGCUAAGGUCCCAAAGUCAUGGUUAAGUGGGAAACGAUGUGGGAAGGCCCAGACAGCCAGGGGAUGUUGGCUUAGAAGCAGCCAUCAUUUAAAGAAAGCGUAAAAUAGCCAUCAUUUAAAGAAAGCGUAAUAGCUCACUGGUCGAGUCGGCCUGCGCGGAAGAUGUAACGGGGCUAAACCAUGCACCGAAGCUGCGGCAGCGACACUAUGUGUUGUUGGGUAGGGGAGCGUUCUGUAAGCCUGUGAAGGUGGCCUGUGAGGGUUGCUGGAGGUAUCAGAAGUGCUGCUGGAGGUAUCAGAAGUGCGAAUGCUGACAUAAGUAACGAUAAAGCGGGUGAAAAGCCCGCUCGCCGGAAGACCAAGGGUUCCUGUCCAACGUUAAUCGGGGCAGGGUGAGUCGACCCCUAAGGCGAGGCCGAAAGGCGUAGUCGAUGGGAAACAGGUUAAUAUUCCUGUACUUGGUGUUACUGCGAAGGGGGGACGGAGAAGGCUAUGUUGGCCGGGCGACGGUUGUCCCGGUUUAAGCGUGUAGGCUGGUUUUCCAGGCAAAUCCGGAAAACCAAGGCUGAGGCGUGAUGACGAGGCACUACGGUGCUGAAGCGACAAAUGCCCUGCUUCCAGGAAAAGCCUCUAAGCAUCAGGUAACAUCAAAUCGUACCCCAAACCGACACAGGUGGUCAGGUAGAGAAUACCAAGGCGCUUGAGAGAACUCGGGUGAAGGAACUAGGCAAAAUGGUGCCGUAACUUCGGGAGAAGGCACGCUGAUAUGUAGGUGAAGCGACUUGCUCGUGGAGCUGAAAUCAGUCGAAGAUACCAGCUGGCUGCAACUGUUUAUUAAAAACACAGCACUGUGCAAACACGAAAGUGGACGUAUACGGUGUGACGCCUGCCCGGUGCCGGAAGGUUAAUUGAUGGGGUUAGCGGCAACGCGAAGCUCUUGAUCGAAGCCCCGGUAAACGGCGGCCGUAACUAUAACGGUCCUAAGGUAGCGAAAUUCCUUGUCGGGUAAGUUCCGACCUGCACGAAUGGCGUAAUGAUGGCCAGGCUGUCUCCACCCGAGACUCAGUGAAAUUGAACUCGCUGUGAAGAUGCAGUGUACCCGCGGCAAGACGGAAAGACCCCGUGAACCUUUACUAUAGCUUGACACUGAACAUUGAGCCUUGAUGUGUAGGAUAGGUGGGAGGCUUUGAAGUGUGGACGCCAGUCUGCAUGGAGCCGACCUUGAAAUACCACCCUUUAAUGUUUGAUGUUCUAACGUUGGCCCGUAAUCCGGGUUGCGGACAGUGUCUGGUGGGUAGUUUGACUGGGGCGGUCUCCUCCUUAAAGAGUAACGGAGGAGCACGAAGGUUGGCUAAUCGGUCGGACAUAGAUUUUCAAGAUGAGGUUAGUGCAAUGGCAUAAGCCAGCGGACUGGAGGAGCGCGACGGCGCGAGCAGUGACGGAACAAGCGGGUUAAUGAAACAGAAUUUGCCUGGCGGCCUUAGCGCGGUGGUCCCACCUGACCCCAUGCCGAACUCAGAAGUGAAACGCCGUAGCGCCGAUGGUAGUGUGGGGUCUCCCCAUGCGAGAGUAGGGAACUGCCAGGCAUCAAAUUAAGCGAAGAGCCCA
rnacentral:rRNA from 1 species